AGAGAUGUACCUCAGUGACAGAGCAUCUGCUUUACAUGCAGAAGGUGCCGGGUUCAAUCUUUGGCGUCUCCA